ensembl:lncRNA
CUUAAGUGUGCUAUGCAGACACACCCGGCAAUCCUGCAUCAACCAAUCACAGACAAGGGAGAGACACCCAGGAGGUGUACUUCCUGUAUUUGGUGAGAGAGGAAUGGAGCAGGAGAGAGAGUGAAAGAGUGAGAGAGAGAUAGUGAGUCAUCGAGCUUUAUCUCGGGGUCAACAGUAACUGAUCACGUCAGUGUUGGAGGAAGGAGAACAGAUUGAUUUGUGAGAUACAGUCCGCGGCCUUUCAUUUGCUUUGUCCAGAUUCCUCUGUUCAUUAACAGCGGCUGUGAAGACAAGACAGAGACAAAAAGAGGAGGGGGAAGAUAAGUGUCAAUCUGUUCAGACUUGUUUGGGAAUUUGAGCAGGGAAGGAGGGAGGAGGGGUGAAACAGCAAGAAGGAGAAGAGCAGAGGGGAGAGGUUGACAGACAGACCGAGAAGGAAACAGAUGCGGAGAGAGACAGAGGGUCAGGAUUGGAUUAAAGUUGAAAUAGAACUUUGUUCGCCAUUCUGACGCCCCCCCCAGCAGAUCUGGAGAGGAAGGAGGAUUGCUUGUGUUGUGCAAUCGUUGUUAGUUCACACUACUGAACUAACUGAGAGCUGCAGAGAGAAGGGAGACUGGACAUCUCUUGCGUACUAAACUCAGGUUCUAAAAACAGUAUGUUACCAUGGGGACCAAACGUCCCAGUCUGACUCCCUUUGAUACAUUUGAUCCAUCCAAUCAAAGCGCUUCCUACCGGAACCCUCAGCCAAUCAGCCAGAUCUACCGCGAAACAAGUCCCAGACCUGGAACUGUGGCCCGGACAGACAGAGAGAGGGAGAGGAUCCGAGAGGAGGAAUGGAGGAGAGAAAGAGAAAUGGAGAGAUUGAAGGACAAGACAAGAAAUAGAAGAAAAGAGAUGGAACCCGGACCAAGAGAGAGGAACAGAGAGAAGGAGUGUGCCCUCAUAUCCAGAGGGGGGGAGGAGGAAAGGGAAGGGAGAGAGAAAGAAAGGGGGGGAGCGGGAGAGAGACGUGCCAAUGGAAGACCUACUUCAAAUCUGGAGAUCAGGAACCACAGAGACAGAGAAAAGGAGAGAAAGAAAGGAGACACGUUUCCUAGAAUGGUAAAACAUAGCAAAGAGAGAGACAGAAGAAUGAGUGCAUUUGUGGAGGAAGAUGUGGGGAAAGAAGGAAUGAGACAAUUGGAGAGACCGAAGGGAACAGAGAUGGACAACUGGGAGAGAGAACGAGAGACAGCAGCAAAGAUACAGCGGUAUCGAGAUGCAGAGAGGGACUUCCAAAGGCACAGGGAGAGGGAGAGGGACUUCCAAAGGCACAGAGAGAGGGAGAGGGAGAGAAUCAGGGCACAGGAGGACGGAGAGAAAAAUGGAGGGAGGCCCAUGGAGGAUAAUACCGUGAGACGGAGGGAGAGAGCGAGGGAAGCGGAGCCAGAUUUCAGAGAGAGGAGAAGAGAGAGGGAUUCAAAGGGUAAUGACCUAUGGAGCAAAAGAGAGAGGUAUAUGGAUGGAGAGAGAGAGAGGUCAAAACUACGGCAGGGAGAAAGAGAGGAUGGAAGAAGAGAGGGAGAUUCACAGAACUAUUCGGAUAGAGAGGGCAGGGAUGGAAGGAGGGAAGGAAAUACCGAGGGACAGAGGGACACCAGGAGUGAGGGAGACAGUGAUGGAGAGAAAAAGAAAGAGAGAGUGAGAGAUGACAACAGAAGAGAACUGAAACAUCUGCACAGUAAAAGUGAGGGGGGCACUGAGGGGAACGCAGCAUGGGAUAGAGUGAGGGAGAAAGAGAAGGAGAGACAGAAAUGGAGAGGGGGGGAGAUGUACAGAGAGAGGGAUGGAAGGAGAGAUGCUUAUAGACAGAGAGUUAGGGAAGGGGACAGGGAUGGAAAGAGUGACAUGGAGAGAUACAGAGAGAGGGACAGGAGAAAAGUGAGGGAAGUGGAGAGAGAGAGGGAUGAGGUGAGAGAAGGGGGCAGGCGAGAGGACAGACCAAGGGAAAGGAGGGACCUAGACAAAGUGAGGGUGGGAACACAGCCCAAUGUAACUGGAGAGAGAGGGAAGCAGAUGGAUGGAGAGAGAUUCAGAGAGAGGGAGAGAUAUUCCAAGGAGGAGGAUGAAGAGAGGAGGUGCAGGGAGAAGAGGGACAGAGAGACAGAUCCCAAAAGGGAGGGAGAAGCAGACGGAGCUAGUCGAUCGCUGAGCGAGACAGCCCCAAGGGUGCCACCACGAGUCCAGAGCAGCGGAGAAUGGAGCAGUGACAUAGAGAGGGAAAGAAAAUGGAGAAGAGGAAGAGAAAGUCAUGAAGAGAAGGAGUCAGAGGGAGAGAAGGAUGUGGACAAGGGGCAGAGAGACUGUAGUGAAAGAGAGAGACCAGAUAGAGUGAGGGGGAGAGAAGAAGGAAAGGAAGAGACGAUACCAAAGCGCCCUGAGCAGAGGAGGAUGUGGUUAUUACCACAGAGGGUCAGAUUUAACAAAGACUCCUCUUUAGAGGAUGAGGUUAUAGAGCGAGAAAGAGAUAGGCACACUAACAGAUGGAGAGAGAGAAGUGAAGAAGAGGACAGAUCCGUGGAACAAUGGACAGGCAGAGAUAAAGAGAGGAAGACAGAGGGAGAAGGACAAGAGGAUAGGUCGGUGGAACAAAGAAAGUCCAUAGACGAAGAGAGAGAAGCUGAGAGGGAGGGAGGGAGGGAGAGGUUUUUGGAGAGAGGGUUAAAUGUAGAUGAAGACGAUGAGACAGAAGCCUGGAGGAGUUAUAGCAGAGGAGAGGAACACCAGACUUACAGCGAUGGAGAGAGAGAGGAACGCUGGCAGAGGGACAGGGAGACGGAGAGAGAGGAACGCUGGCAGAGGGACAGGGAGACGGAGAGAGAGGAACGCUGGCAGAGGGACAGGGAGACGGAGAGAGAGAAUGUGACAGAUAACACAGAGGGUGACAGAGAGGAAGAAGGAGGAAGUGAUAGAUAUACACUCUUCGAGAGCGAUGGAGGAAGUGAUAGAGAGUGGGAAGGAAGGAGGGAUAGAAUCCCUUCCUCUGAGGACGGCUUUAUCACUGUGUCCAGUGGUGGAGAAGAGGAGUUUGAGGACUGCAAGGAAUUCUUGGAAGUUGGGGUUGCUAUUCAUGUUACCAGGCAACCUGUUAGCUUUCAGGGGAGCGAGGGAGAGAUGAAGAUUGGUGGAGGGAGAAGACAUGAAAGAGAGAGAGAAAGAACAGAAGAGAGGACAGAGCAAAAGGAUGAUGCAGUGGAGGGAGAGGUGAAUGAUGGAAAGGGGAAGAAGCAACCCACCUAUGUAUUCUGUGUGAUUGGACAAACACUGCCCAGGUCAAAACCCAAUCAGACAGCAGUCUUGGGUGACAUGGAAUCAGAGUGGACCAAUCAAAAUCCUGGAUAUGGUCAUAGGGACAGUGAUGACAUCACACACCUCCCUCAUGAGAACCCUUCCAGAGAUGGAGACCAAGGGGCAGAGGAUGAGAGAAAAAUAGUGAGGGAUGAGAUCCAUGUGCCAAAGGAGGAGAGAACAGACACAGAAGAGAGCUCCAUAGUGGACGUCAGUCACACCACCCUAGAACGAGAGAGCGGAGAACGACUGAAGGUCAUGGAGGAGAACCCWUACGCUGAGAUAGAGCGAAGGAGGAACUCUGAGACCGAAAAACUCCUCAAAGAGUGGAGAGAAAGACAUGAAGAGUACACAGAAACAAGAGAGAGGGACCCAACAGACAGGAGGAGGAYAGAACCAGAGAUAGGUCCAUCUUCRCAUCCCAGUGGAGAGUACCACCACCAUGGGAUCCCUGUAGUUGACCAAGCCACCUCUGACCAGAAURACCCUGKAGUGAUGAGCCCAGAGGAAGCUGUGGCCAUCCARAUCUGUAUAAGGGGAGCCUGGAGCACAGAAGAGGAGRCMAAGCGCCACUCCCAGGCCUCACACAUGAAGUGGGCCAAGAACGUAUUGAGCGAGAUCCUUGGCAGCUCGGAGGAACCAGCCCUCGGCAACCCCCAGCCAGAGUCACAGGGAAGUCAAGAGGUCAGCCAGACURCGAGAGGGACCGAGAGGGUAGAAGAGGAGCUAGAGGAAGAAAAGGAUGAGACGCUAGAGGGGGGAGGAGCCUCACCCAUCUACGCCACGGUUCAGAAGAGGAAGAAGCGUGGGAGGAAGUCGGUGGAGGAGAGGCUGGCUGAACAGGAGGCAGAGCCAGGGAAGCUGGAGGAUGAGAGAGGUACAGGGGAGAAACUAACAGACGUGCAUGCUGAGGCUUUCACAGCUAUGCUUGGUGAUGGCAAACCCAUAGACAUGCAUGCUGCCCUGACCCUACACAAUACUCAUGGUGACACACCUACAGACACACAGGGAGAGGAGGUGGAGGGUAACAAUGUGUGUGCAGACAGACAAACAGACAGUCAUAUACAUAUCCAGGUAGAGAUGGUGACAGAGGAUGAGGGUGAGAUGGAGAAAGGGAUCGAAGUUGGGGACGAGGUUCAUAUACUGGAUGCAGAGAAAGAAGUGAAUGCCCAGAAAGAGGAAGAUCUGUUUCUCUCUGUGAGCAACACCCUGUACAAACCAACCAGCUGCCCCAGCCUUAUAUACAACCCUGAUUCAAAACAACCUAUCACCACCAUAGAGGAAAAGRYRGAGGAAGAAGGGGAGAAAGAGAGGACUGUGGGAGAUGGGGAAGAGAAUAGUGUGGUAGAGAGGAAGCAGGAAAGGAGGAUAGAGGAUGGGACCGAGGACAGGGGGAAAGUGGGAGAGGCGACUGAGGAGAGGAAAGUGGAAAGGGAGGAGGAGAAGAGGGUAGGAGGGGAAGAGGAGAGGGUGAGGGAGGGCAAGGAAGAGAGUAAAAAAACGGGAGGAGGGGGGGUGAAGAGCACUUGUAGCUUCCAAGAUUUGGGCACCGAUGUUCGGUAUAGGAGGCGGGGGUUCCGCAAGACAACAGAAAGAAGAAACGAGGAAGAAGAAGAAGGAAGAGGAGAUGCAAGGGAUCGCAGAACAAGAAUAUUCCAGGAGUCAGAUGAGGAGGAGGAGGAGGUGAGCUUCCACUGGGGAGACGUGGACCUGAGGAAUGUCACGGAUACCAUCAGAAUGGCUAGGAGGAACUCCAAAUUUUACAGUGAGUAUCUCUGCUCUACCUCUUCUGCACUACUUCUACUGCUCUGCCUCUACUGCUCUGCGUCUACUGCACUACUUCUACUGCUCUACUUCUACUGCACUACCUCUACUGCUCUACUUCUACUGCUCUACUUCUACUGCACUACCUCUUCUGCACUACUUCUACUGCUCUGCCUCUACUGCUCUGCUUCUACUGCUCUGCCUCUACUGCUCUGCUUCUACUGCUCUACUUCUACUGCUCUACUUCUACUGCUCUACCUCUACUGCACUACUUCUACUGCUCUACUUCUACUGCUCUAC